GAUGAACGCUGGCGGCGUGCCUAAUACAUGCCAGUCGAGCGAACAGAUGCGGCGCUUGCUCCUCUGACGUUAGCGGCGGACGGGUGAGUAACACGUGGAUCCCCUCCCUAUCAGAGUGGGAUCACUUCGGGAAACCGGCGCUAAUACCGGAUAAUAUAUUGAACCGCGUGGUUCGAUGGUGAAAGACGGUUUUGCUGUCACUUAUAGAUGGAUCCGCGCCGCAUUAGCUAGUUGGUAAGGUAACGGCUUACGAAGGCAACGAUGCGUAGCCGACCGGAGGGGGGGAUCGGCCACACGGGAACUGAGACACGGUCCAGACGCCUACGGGAGGCAGCAGUAGGGAAUCUUCCGCAAUGGGCGAAAGCCUGACGGAGCAACGCCGCGUGAGUGAUGAAGGUCUUCGGAUCGGAAAACUCUGUUAUUAGGGAAGAACAAAUGUGUAAGUAACUAUGCACGUCAUGACGGUACCUAAUCAGAAAGCCACGGCUAACUACGUG
rnacentral:rRNA from 1 species